rnacentral:lncRNA from 10 species
UAGCCGGUGGUCAAGAGACAGCUAAUGCUCAAAGUUCUCUUGGCCCUGAAGAAGGGACUAGAUUUUCUUUUAUGCUUUGGUUUAGAAAGGGGAGGGGGUCUAAUUAAAACAAUUUUACAGAAAUAAAGUAGGCAAAAAACUUAAAAGGAUAAAUGGUUACAGGAAAGUAAACAGUUCCAGGUGUAGAGGCUUUAAGACUAUUAUAAGGUGUUAGAAGCGGGGCUUUUUGGGCGUUAUCAAUCAGACGAAUUCCUGGGAACUGCGGAUAUAGCUUGCCACAGUAUCUUAUCAGUUAAUUGCAUUCUUGGAUGUGCUGGGAGUCAGCUUGCACGAGUUAAGUCCUUGAGGAAGGGGCUGCCAGUGAAAGAGCCAAGAUGGAGUCUGUCUGGCUCUCUUAGCUAAGGGAGAGUCAAUUCAGGUGGAACCAAGGCUAGGUGAUUAAAGGGAAGAGGGAGAGUCUAAAAACAGGGUUAGUAAAAACAAGGUUGGGCAUUACAAGUGCACACCUGGUUCCAGCUGGCCACGGAGGGUGGCCUGACUAGGCAUGUGGCCCGUCUGUACCACAGGCAGCUCUCCCCUUUCAUUUCUGUCAUAACAAAGUACCACAAAUUGAAUGGCUCAAACAACAGAAAUGUGCUGUCUUACAGUUCUGGAUGCUGGACGUCGGAAAUAAAUGAAGGUGUCAGUAGGGUUGGGUCCCUCCGAGGCUUCAAGGAAUCUGUUCCAGGCCUCCCUCCCAGCUUCUGGCGGUUUGCUGGCCGUCUUUGGGGUUCCUUGGCUCACAGAAGCAUCACCUGGGUCUCUGCCUUUAUCUUCACAUGGUGGUCUCCCUGUGUGUGUGUCUGUCUCUAAAUCCCGCCCCCCCUUUUUUUUUUUGAGACAGAGUCUUGCUCUGUUGUCGGUGCAAUGGUGAUCUUGGCUCACUACAACCUCCGCUUCCUGGGUUCAAGCAAUUCUGCUGCCUCAGCCUCCCGAGUAGCUGGGAUUACAGGUGCCUCCCACCACGCCCAUCUAAUUAAAUUUCCCCUUUUUAUGAGGACACCAGUCAUGAUGGAUCAGGGGCCCACCCUACUCUAGUAGGAUCUUGAUGUGGACUGAACUGUGCACCCCCAAAAUUGAUGUAUCCGAGCUCAAACUCCAAUGUGACUGUAUUUGAACAUAGGGCUUUAUCAGCUAAUUAAACUUAAAUGAGAUCAUAAGGGUGGAGACCUAAUCUCAUAAGAAGAAGAGAGAGAUCUUGUGCUCCUUCUGCCGUGUGAGGACACAGCGAAAAAGUAGCCAACUGCAAGUUAGGAAGGGGGCCCGUCACCAGGAACCAAGUUGGCCAGCACCCUGAGCUUGGAAUUCCCAAUUUUCAGAGCUAUGAGGAAAUACAUUUCUGUGUUUAAGCCAUCCAGUCUCUGGUAUUUUGUUACGAUAGUUUGAAAGACUAAGACACACCUCAUCCUAACUUAACUAAGUGCAUUGCAAGACAGUCCCAUUCUGAGGUGCUGGGGGUUAGGAGUUCAAUGUAUAAGUUAUGGUGUCAACCCAUAAUGCCAUCCACACCAGAAUGUAAAUGGGAGUUUAACUACUCUCUACUCAUCUAGAUCCCAAUAACUAAUUCCAAAUAUCCUACAUUUUUCUGCUGGCCUGUGGCCUUCAACCUUCUGUCUAGUAGAAAUUUCUGUCAGUUAGGGUUUUUGGUGUGCAGGUAACAGAAACGGACUCGGCUCAAGCCUCUAUCCACCUUGGGUUCCUCUGUGUCUCUGUGUAAGAUUCAAAUUCCCAGGAGUGCAUCUGACUGGCCCAGCCCACAUGUGGCAGGGCAUUGAGGGUGAGGCACACACACCAGAACCAAGGCAGGGCCAGGGGAAGGGUCAUUCCCUAAAGGCAGGAAUUCUGGGUAGCAAGGCCAGCAUGAGUUCUGGGAAGAGGUCUGGACUGCUCCAUGGAGACCUACGAUGUAAACACAGGCAAACCCCUCUACCUCUCAGGGUCUCGAUUCCUUUUUCAUUAACCAGGAACAACAAGACUUAUUCUGCUCACCUGACAGGUAACCAUCAAACAUAAAUGAAGAUAGGGAUGCACUUGGAAAUUAACAUAGAGACUUGUUACAGCAGCCAGACACCCGGCCCCUUCUCUCUCUAAUCUAAACAACCACAGCCCUGCAGUUUCCAACGUGAAUCAUGUUGCCUUCUCUUCUGGAAACCUUUCACAUGUUUCUUCAUAAAGGCCCCACACCGAAUGUGGCAUUCCCAUGCAAUUGUUUUCCAUUUCCACAUCCCACAAAACUCUCUUCCAAAGAAUCUGGGUUUGCUCCAUGACAGAAACAAAUAGGCCAGGCGUGGUGGCUCACACCUGUAAUCCCAGCACUUUGGGAAGCGGAGGCAGGCAGAUCACUUGAGGUCAGGAGUUCGAGAUCAGCCUGGCCAACAUGGUGAAACCCCAUCUCUACUAAAAAUACAAAAAUUAGCCACGGUCAGGAUACCGUGGCCAUUGAAUAUAUGCCACAGGGCAGGCAGUGCCUCUAAUUGGGAAAAAACGAACUACGACCUUAAAUAGAUGAACUAUUUAAUAGGUUGGUUUUUUAAAAUCUAUUUUAGUAUUUCCAAGUGCAAGUGUCUUUAUUGCUCACCAGACAAUGAAGCACAGGGUUUAACACAGGAGGACCUACCUGUUUGAGGUUUGGGGGUUUUUGGUUAUUAUGUUAUUAGUUAGGAAUGUUUUCAGCUGCAAAUAAUAGAAAACCUACGUGUGGUGAAACAAAUAGGGGUUCACUUCUCUUACAUAACAAGAAGGGUGGCUGCUGAUGCUGAUUUAGCAGCUCUGUGAGCUUGGUGCCAGCCUUUCCCUGGUUCUCUUGGCUUUUAUCUCAUGAUUACAAGAAGGCUGCCUGAGUUCCUGGCGUCACAUCUUUAUUCAAGGCAGGAAGCCAGGGGAAAGGGGCUUUUUAUCCAGAAAGCCAAAGCUUUUUCUGAAGUCCUUCUGUCAGCUUUCAUCUCAGUGACCAGAGCUAUGUCCCAUGGCCUGGGAGGCAGAGAAAAGAGCAUUUGGCUUUUCUGGAUGCUUUAGUGAAGGCAGGCAAGGGAGGGAGGAGGGCACUGGGAUUGGAAGAGCUAAUCCACAGCGUAGGCUGUGGCUCCUUAAAUCUUCGUUUGUUUACACUAUGAGGCAGUGGUGUAGUGUUUUUCAAACUGGAGAAUUGUGACCUACUAGGAGGUUGCGAAAUCAACUUAGUGGGUCUCUGACCAGCAUUCUUUUAAAGUAAAAUAAAAUAGAAAAUAUUGAUGCUCAACUAAAUAGUGAGGAUCGGGACUAUUUGUGACACAGCUGUGUUAGUUUUAUAUCUAAUGACCUACAUGUGAGUCUCAGUCAAAAAGAUUGGGAAGCCGUUGCCACAGGGGAUGAUGUGUAGAGGGGGUUAGGUGUGGGCUGGGGUCAGACGGCCAGGGGCACUUGGCCUUUUUGGCCAUUUAUGGCACACAUUUGGGCAAGUUACAAUCAUCCUUUUAGGUCUAUUUCUUCCAUUGUAAAAGAGAGAAAAUAAUAUACCCACCUUGUUAUAUGUAAAAAAUGGGUUAGCACACAGUUUGUGUCAUAGUAAUUACCCAAGAAAAUGCUGUUGGUAUUGGUAUCUACUGAUAACCAGUCAUUGCCAGGUCCCGCUUUCAUGACCCAAUUAGGUUCACUUAAAAGUAGCAAUAUACUCAUACGUAAACCAGAAAUGUUAAAAUCUCCUCCCCCACAAAAAGUUGACUUUGGCACAGUGCCGUCCACCGAAUCCUGUGGGAUGCUAUUACAGAAAAUCCUAGGAAACCUGUUAAUUUCCCCGCAGGAGGGCUAACGUUGAGGGUGCAGCUUGUGAGUCAUCGGCAUGGGGCCAGCGGACCCGUGGAAGAAACUUCUCUCUGGCCUCGGUCCCAGGAAUUGCUGGGCUUCUUCCGGAAAACUAGCUUCCUUUCAUCUUUGGGACUGAGCGAAUGAUGGAGCUGAUCCUGUUUCCCUGCUUGCUUUGGCCCAAUUAGCAGUUCCUCUCUAGCAGACAGCACAGGACUUGUGGCGGGGAGAAUAUUAUGGAUGCCUCGCUUUUUUCUACAACAUUUUUCUAAGUCCCCUCUGCCGCAAAGAUUUCUUCCCCUACUUUUUGUAUCUGCGUUUUUAUCACAAUGGGCUCCUCCCCUGGCCUUGGGCCCAGUGCCUCCAAGGAUAAAGCAACACUUGAGCGUCCCCUCUGUGUGUAGAGGUGACACCACCUCGGCCAUCACCAGCCCCAUGAAGGGACUUCUACCCAGCAGCCCCACUGGGUGGGAGCGCCCAUUUCUACUGCCCGCAUGUCUGUCUGUGCAGUUUAGGAAUGCCAGGGCUGGUGCUUAGGCUGGGCACACUGUGCGGGGGACAUGCCGCCCUGCUCCCUGUGCCUGGCACCUAGAAAUGAACACUUUACGGGAAUGGAACCCAGGGCACGACCAUCUCAGCCCGCGGAACGAUCCAGCCCAACUGGUGAGAACUCCCGCUCUUGGUGUUGGGGGCCAGGCAGGGUUCGUGGAGAGGGUCCUUAUAACCUGCUCAGCCCCCUAGCCAGAGCAAUCCUACACAUCGCUGAGCCCUCUUCGGGAUGAGAAUGCGCACCCUCAGCCCAGCCGUAUCCUCUGCCCCUGCCCCUGCCCCUACCCAGGGAGGGCAGUCCUGGGGGUCCCAGGGCAGGCAUGGACCAGGACUAGCGUUACCAGCACUGACCUGCCCAGUCCAUCCCCCAGCCCCAGCAAGGCUGGGUCCAGGGCUUCCACCCCUCCAUGCACAGCCCACGCCAGCUGGGUUCCACAGGAUCCUUUUAAAUCACAAUUCCAAAGCGGGCUGUCCACAGGCAAGGAAGCCAGGAGCCUGUUCACACAAAUGCUCGCUGUUCAGGGCAGGCUGCCCAAGUCACCCCUUCCUGGUGUCCCCAGACCUGGGCUACUAAGUCCUGGGGGUCCGGAAGGCAGGGUUAGUCCCAGGUAACCACAGGGACGCUCCAGGGAUCCCUGCUGAAGGACAAGGACCUUCUCCUCCUCCUCCUCUUCCUCCUCCUGCAUCUCAGCCUCCCCAGCAGCCACAGCCAAGAGCCCUGCCAAGCCGAUGGGACCCACGCAAUCAAUAAGCAGGUGAUAGCUUCUUCAGGUCACUCCUUUGGGUAGCAGGCAUGUAUCAGAUCUGGAGCUCCAUCACCCUGCUGGGAGUUCAGACAUCGUGUCUUAUAGCUACGUGGCACUCACAGGUUGUCCUUGUCCCGAAACAAAACAAAGUGAAGCAAUAACAACCCGCCAGACUCAUUUCCUGCUGUGGAACCUAAAAUCUCAACCAUUUAGUAACUCUUUGGGUUUCAAGAACUGUGGCCCUAGAAGGGUCCUGCCAGAGUGCAGUGAUGUUCCCCAUCACUAUGGUCGCUUGUGCCUCACCAGUGUCUCCAGUUCGCUCAAAAGAACACGAGAAUUGCCCUUCCAGGCCCCUUGGAGUCAGGCGUGGCCACAUGCGUUCACCGGAAAGGAGGCAGACACCUUGGCGUUCUGCACCCCAGAGUUACUGGGGCCCUUUGUUACUGAAGCAUCACCUGGCCCAUGCAGACUGAUACAGCAACACAGUCACCCCCAGACACUCUGGAAUGUGGCCUUGGAGACCAAAGGCUUCAUGGGAGUGGCUAGGCUAGGGGCACUGGAGAGGGCGAGGGAGAGCCAGGUCUCCCGUCCUUCCUGCACCAGGCACGGCUGGUAGAGGGCCCCUGAAACCUUCAGGGAGGUCUGGGCACCAAAGGGAUUCGGGGCUCCCUCAAAUCUCAACAUUUUUCAGAGAACCAGCCCUAAGUGUCCCUGAAGAGACCCUGGGAAGGAAAAGCCAUAGAGGCCAGCCUUGGGCAAAGAAGCCGCAGCAGUGGGGCGGAGGGCUGUGGGACAAGCCAAGCCUCCCCCACCCCAAGGAAGCCCCAGGGAGUCUGAACACCCUCCCUGCUCCUGACUGCAGGGCGAGGGGUUGGAAUCCCAGAAGGAAGGAGUGGAGAUGGAGACCUUCCUAUCCAUCCACACCAGAGAGGCCCCAGGCCAGUAGCGAGGCCACCCCAUUUUAUUAAGAAAUUAAACCAGCUUCCCUUGGAUUUGUCACCAUCAACAGUGUGCACCCUCCUGCAUCCCCUAGCACAGGGGGCGAAGGCGGA